rnacentral:rRNA from 1 species
UACGUAGGGUGCGAGCGUUGUCCGGAAUUAUUGGGCGUAAAGAGCUUGUAGGCGGUUUGUCGCGUCUGCCGUGAAAAUUCGAGGCUCAACCUCGAACUUGCGGUGGGUACGGGCAGACUAGAGUGUGGUAGGGGAGACUGGAAUUCCUGGUGUAGCGGUGAAAUGCGCAGAUAUCAGGAGGAACACCGAUGGCGAAGGCAGGUCUCUGGGCCACUACUGACGCUGAGGAGCGAAAGCGUGGGGAGCAAACAGG